GUUAAGCACGUUGGUCACGUGUUAGCCGCCACCCCGGGCUUCAGACGGUUCGCGCGCCCAUCGCUGCGGAGGCGCGGGCGGGACGAGUUGUCUGGCCAGCCGGUGACUCUGGUGGAGGCCUCUGAUGCUGUGCUGGGCGGCUGAGGAGGCAGGCGGUGGAGCUGCGGGAACGCGAGGCGUGUGCAGCGUGCUUCUCUCACACCCUCCGAUUUCCUCGUGGGGAGCCGCUGAGGUGAAGUCGACUUCCCCAAAGCUGCAGGACCAGUAGGGGCCCACGGGAGAUGAGGUCCCCGGAAGGGAUUCUUCAGCUGCGCGACGAACACCUGCGUCCUGGAUUAGGACUCGGGUUUCUGUGCUUCUUAGCUGAUUAUAGCACUCCCAAGCAGUGGAGGAGUGACGGGUGGUCGAAUUCUUCUGAUUAAAGUUUAAAGAGAAUGACCGGAGACACUAUGGUCAUUAGACCCAUCAUUAACACCUAGAAACUAUUUUUUAAAAAAUAAGCAUUUCUAGAGCAAUAGUUCCUAACUAAAAAGGGUUCCAAGGAGAAAUCAAGUCUCUUAUUUUCAGACUAUUUCAUCCGUCAGCCCUUUGGCAAGAACUGCCUAAGGAGACUAACUGCACAGUGAUAGAGUGCUAGCCUCGAAUAUGGGAAGCCCUAGAUCCAAUCCCAAAGCUACCAGGGGGGGGGGAGGGGGAGUGAUUGCACUUCAUACAUGGGUUCUGGAUUCAACUGACUGCAAAUUAAGUAUAUUCUGAAAGACUGUUGAACAUGUGCACUAUUUUACUUGUCUUUCCCUACAUGUUUCAACUAUGUCAUUAACAUAUUCGAUAAUACAAAUACUCCUCCAGAGAUAAUUUAAGUGUCUGAAACCAGUCAGGUCAUGGUGACUUCCAACUAAAGUCACAAUUACAGGAAGGCUUAGGCAAGAGGAUGAACCCGAGCCAGUCUGAGAAACACAAAAACCCUCUCUCAGUAAUACAUAACCAGAGGUGGGCAUGGUGGUGGUACACACUUACAAUCCCAGCACUUGAGGACUAAGAGGUAGGCAGGUCCUGCAUUCCAGGCUAGCUUGAUCUACAUAGUUACAGGUCAGCCAGAGCUAGACAGUAAGACUCUGUCUCAAAAACAGCAACAAAAUUAUUAAAAAGGACUGGGGGUAGCUCAGAAGUAAAGCACUUGCCUAGCACCUGUGAGGCCCUAGGUUCAAGCCCCAGUACUAUCAAACAAAGCCAUAAAUAACUUGGAGGUGGUAGCCCACACCUGUGAUUCUACUACUCAGUAUUGAUGAACAAAGGGCUAUCUAAAAGCCAAAUUCAUGCGAGUCAGAUGUCAGUGUGAACCCUGCCUGAAUUCUGGGUUACAGGCGUUCUUAAGUAGUUUUAGCAAACACUGAAACCCAGCUGUUGAUAAUCUGGAAACUGGGACAGGAUUGCAAGUUUAAGCCUAUGUUGAACUAUCAAGUGAGAUCCUUUUCUUCAACAGAUAAACCUGUAAGCAAAAUCCUGUGUGAAUACUGUACCACUUCAUAGAAGAGCCUUAAGCAGGCUAGAGAGAUAGUUCAGUGUUUGAAAUGCUUGUUCUUUCAGGGGACCUGGGUUCAGUUAUUGCUUAACUGAAGCUCAUCAACCCCGGAUAUGGUUUCUGUGCUUAAAAGCUCACCCUGAGCAAGGCUUGGAGCUACCUGGGAUUCUGAACAUGUGGUGUAGUCAAGGGUUAGCUAAUAAACACUUUCUAUUGGCUUAAA